CUUAAUAGUAAGGAACAUUUUGUUCAUGAAAAGUUGUAUUUCAAAUUAUGCAAAUACUGCUUUUUGAUAUGCUAGUACUACAGUGCAUAUUGAUUACCUUAAGAUGUGUAUCAGGAAGACUCAACCAACUUAAGUUUUCCAAAGACUAUAGUGUGAUGGAAGGGCCUCAUAACAAAGGAUCUCCUCUGCAUGUAAACAUUUCCAUCAAUCUACGAAACAUUUUUGAAGUAAAUGAGAAAUUAUCACUUAUAACAGUAGAAACUUCAAUAAGGAUGAUCUGGCAAGACCCCAGAAUUUAUCCAACGAAUAAUGGAAGUGAUUGGGACUUUGAUUUUAUAACUUUUAACGGAAAAAUAGUGAAAAGAAAAUUUUGGAUUCCUGACGUUUUUAUUGAUGGAGCAAAGAAUGCAAGGAUUCCAAAAUAUCAUUUGCAGCCAAUGUCACUUCGAUACUACAAAAACAGAAAUUUAAGGUUAUCACUAAGAAUCAAUUUUGACGUUAUUUGUCAAAUGGACUUUCACAAAUACCCCAAUGAUGAGCAGCUAUGUGACAUACCCUUAGAAAGUUGGGAUACUUCGAUGGAUGAUAUGAAACUAAAUUGGGAUCUGAGUAACUCUGUCAUUAAUCCUAAUAUUACUUUAGAUCAAUUUUCACCUUUGAUAUAUUUCAAAAAAAUAUGAUACCCAAUCUGACAUGACGUCUUAUUCUGGCCUUAUCAUCCGUAUUCAGUUGCAGAGAUUAAUCCCAUAUCACGUGAUUCAAACAUUCAUUCCUAGUAUAGUAUUUGUCAUACUGGGAUGGAUAUCACUGUUUUUAGAUCCUCAAGCCAUUCCAGGUAGGGUCAAAAUGGUAAUGCUGUCUUUACUUACAUCAUUGGCAAUGUUCAACAGUGUACGUGAUAGUACUCCACAGGUAUCUUAUGUUAGUUAUUUAGAUAUAUGGAUGGUUAUGUGUCUAAUAUUCAUAUUUUCGAUUUUAAUUGAAUUUUCAUUGGUUCUAUGGUUUAUUCGGAUUGGAAAGAAACCUUUGGCUCAAAAAAUAGAAAUUAUAUGGAUUAUCGUCUUUCCAAUAAUUUUCGGAAUUUUUGUAAUUAUUUAUUGGUGUCUGUUGCUUAAAAAUAAUUCUAGUAAACCAACUGUAACGAAUUCAAUUUUACUCUAAUAAUGACUCUAUAAGGAUAAUUUAGUCAAAGUUAUACAAAUAAUAUAUUUAUUUAUCUA
rnacentral:lncRNA from 1 species